rnacentral:rRNA from 1 species
AAAUUGAAUCAUGACCUCAAAUUAGGUAGGAGUACCCGCUGAACUUAAGCAUAUCAAUAAGCGGAGGAAAAGAAACUAACAAGGAUUCCCUUAGUAACGGCGAGUGAAGUGGGAAUGGCUCAAAUUUAAAAUCUGGCCAGUUUCUGGUCCGAAUUGUAAUCUAAAGAAGCGUUUUCCGCGUCCAGCUCGAGUAUAGGUCCCUUGGAAUAGGGCAUCAGAGAGGGUGAGAAUCCCGUCUGUGACACGAGUUUGGAGGUGAUAUGAUACGUUUUCGACGAGUCGAGUUGUUUGGGAUUGCAGCUCAAAAUGGGUGAUAAAUUCCAUCUAAGGCUAAAUAAUGGCAAGAGACCGAUAGCGAACAAGUACCGUGAGGGAAAGAUGAAAAGAACUUUGAAAAGAGAGUUAAACAGUACGUGAAAUUGUUGAAAGGGAAACGAUUGAAGCCAGUCGUGCUGGCGGGAAAUCAGCUUUCGGGAUUACUGGAGGUGCACUUUCUCGCAAGGCAGGUUAGCAUCAAUUUCGCAUGUUGUAAAAAGUCCGUCGGAAUGUGACUCCUUUCGGAGUGUUAUAGCCAGCGGUCAAUGCGACGCGUGGGAUUGAGGAUUGCAGCGAGAGCCUUUUAGGCUAAGUGCCUGGCCCUUGUUCGUGAUCGUCUUGGCAACAGCGUGCUGGUGUUGAGAACGAUUCGUGGACACGGGGUGUAGCGUCACGGUAAACUCGUUAAGUG